rnacentral:rRNA from 1 species
AUACGGAGGGUGCAAGCGUUACUCGGAAUCACUGGGCGUAAAGCGCGCGCAGGCGGGCUGAUAAGUUGGAUGUGAAAGCCUACGGCUCAACCGUAGAACUGCAUCCAAAACUGUCAGUCUAGAGUCUGGGGGGGGAAGAUGGAAUUAGUUGUGUAGGGGUAAAAUCCGUAGAGAUAACUAGGAAUACCAAAAGCGAAGGCGAUCUUCUGGAACAGUACUGACGCUGAGGCGCGAAAGCGUGGGGAGCAAACAGGAUUAGAAACCCUAGUAGUCC